GCUCCGGUGGCCUAGUGGUUAGAGCGUCCGCCUCGGAUGCGGAAGGGUUGUGGGUUAUAACCCCGGUCGAGUCA